rnacentral:rRNA from 1 species
GGAGCUUGCUCCCGGAUGUUAGCGGCGGACGGGUGAGUAACACGUGGGUAACCUGCCUGUAAGACUGGGAUAACUCCGGGAAACCGGAGCUAAUACCGGAUAGUUCCUUGAACCGCAUGGUUCAAGGAUGAAAGACGGUUUCGGCUGUCACUUACAGAUGGACCCGCGGCGCAUUAGCUAGUUGGUGGGGUAAUGGCUCACCAAGGCGACGAUGCGUAGCCGACCUGAGAGGGUGAUCGGCCACACUGGGACUGAGACACGGCCCAGACUCCUACGGGAGGCAGCAGUAGGGAAUCUUCCGCAAUGGACGAAAGUCUGACGGAGCAACGCCGCGUGAGUGAUGAAGGUUUUCGGAUCGUAAAGCUCUGUUGUUAGGGAAGAACAAGUGCGAGAGUAACUGCUCGCACCUUGACGGUACCUAACCAGAAAGCCACGGCUAACUACGUGCCAGCAGCCGCGGUAAUACGUAGGUGGCAAGCGUUGUCCGGAAUUAUUGGGCGUAAAGGGCUCGCAGGCGGUUUCUUAAGUCUGAUGUGAAAGCCCCCGGCUCAACCGGGGAGGGUCAUUGGAAACUGGGAAACUUGAGUGCAGAAGAGGAGAGUGGAAUUCCACGUGUAGCGGUGAAAUGCGUAGAGAUGUGGAGGAACACCAGUGGCGAA